GGGGAUUUAGCUCAGUGGUAGAGCACUUGUCUGGCAAACACAAGGCCCUGAGUUCAGUCUUCA
rnacentral:tRNA from 1 species